GACGAACGCUGGCGGCGUGCUUAACACAUGCAAGUCGAGCGGUAAGGCCCUUUCGGGGGUACACGAGCGGCGAACGGGUGAGUAACACGUGGGUGACCUGCCCUCAGCUCUGGGAUAAGCCUGGGAAACUGGGUCUAAUACUGGAUAUGACUCCACGGUGCAUGUCGUGGGGUGGAAAGCCUUGUGCGGCUGAGGAUGGGCCCGCGGCCUAUCAGCUUGUUGGUGGGGGAUGGCCUACCAAGGCGACGACGGGUAGCCGGCCUGAGAGGGCGACCGGCCACACUGGGACUGAGACACGGCCCAGACUCCUACGGGAGGCAGCAGUGGGGAAUCUUGCGCAAUGGGACGAAGCCUGACGCAGCGACGCCGCGUGAGGGAUGAC
rnacentral:rRNA from 1 species